UCACUACCUAUGAUGUCGAUAUUCUGAGC
rnacentral:piRNA from 1 species